UUCUAAUAACACAAGGUCUUGGUCUUAAACCUCCAGUUGUCUAAGCCCCUUACUUAUACAUGCAAGCCUCAACACGACAGUGAAAUAGCCCACUACAACAACUUAACGGAGCUGGUAUCAGGACAUCGCCAAUAACACCAAGCACAUAAGCCACACCCCCACGGGCCAGCAGCAGUACUUAAUAUUAGGCUAUAAGCGCAAGCUCGACCUAAUAAAGGAGCUCACAGGGCCGGUUAAUCUCGUGCCAGCGACCGCGGUUACACGACAGACCCAAGACAACAUCAACGGCGUAAAGCACGACUAAAACAUAAGUUACCAUAUUAGGGGUAAAGACAAGCCGGGCUGUAAAAAGCCAUAAGCCACACUAAACAUACUCACCCUAAUACCCAAACAACUUCAACUCGUGAAAGCCAGGACACAAACUAAGAUUAGAUACCCUACUAUGCCUGACCAUAACAAAACAAUUAAAUAACUAAUUGUUCGCCAAAUAACUACGAGUAAAAACUUAAAAUUUAAAAGACUUGACGGUACUUCACAUCAACCUAGAGGAGCCUGUCCAAUAACCGAUGAUCCACGAUUAAACCUACCCACCCUAGCCCAACAGCCUAUAUACCGCCGUCGCCAGCUUACCUUGUGAAAGAAAUAAAGUAAGCCUGAUAGUCCACCACUAAUACGACAGGUCGAGGUGUAGCUAAUGAGUGGGACCAAGAUGGGCUACAUUUUCUUAUACAGAAAAAACGAAUCAGUCUAUGAAAUUAGAAACCGAAGGCGGAUUUAGCAGUAAGAUGGAAAUAGAUAUACCCAACCGAAACUAAUGCAAUGAAGUGCGCACACACCGCCCGUCAUCCCUGUAAAACAUAUAACUUUUACAUUAACCUACCCCCAUACUAAAACAGGGCAAGUCGUAACAUGGUAAGCGUACUGGAAAGUGCGCUUAG
rnacentral:ncRNA from 1 species